AUGACAUCUCUCCUAGGUAAGCUGGCUAGCAUGUCGACCAAUGAGUACAAGUUGAUAAAGGAUGUUCGUCAUGAUGACAACGAAUGCCUCAAGGAUGAGCUCAAGGCCAUGCAAGCAUUCCUGCUCGUGAUGGUAGACAUGGAGGAACCUGACCACCAAGCUAAGCUUCAUGUUGAUGCUGUGCAAGAGUUGUCUUAUGCGAUUGAAGACAGAGUCGACAAGUUUAUGUCACUUAUGAACCAUGAUCCAAUUCCAAGUUGGAAAGCUUUGGGGAGAAUCUUGAAAAAAUCAAGACAAAGAUAA
rnacentral:rRNA from 1 species